rnacentral:rRNA from 1 species
CAGCCGCCACGGGAAUACCGAGGGUGCAAGCGUUAAUCGGAAUUACUGGGCGUAAAGCGCGCGUAGGUGGUUUGUUAAGUUGGAUGUGAAAUCCCCGGGCUCAACCUGGGAACUGCAUCCAAAACUGGCAAGCUAGAGUAUGGUAGAGGGUGGUGGAAUUUCCUGUGUAGCGGUGAAAUGCGUAGAUAUAGGAAGGAACACCAGUGGCGAAGGCGACCACCUGGACUGAUACUGACACUGAGGUGCGAAAGCGUGGGGAGCAAACAGGAUUAGAUACCCGCGUAGUCCCUGUCUCUUAUAC